ACGGAAGGUCCAGGCGUUAUCCGGAUUUAUUGGGUUUAAAGGGAGCGUAGGCGGACGAUUAAGUCAGCUGUGAAAGUUUGCGGCUCAACCGUAAAAUUGCAGUUGAAACUGGUUGUCUUGAGUGCACGCAGGGAUGUUGGAAUUCAUGGUGUAGCGGUGAAAUGCUUAGAUAUCAUGAAGAACUCCGAUCGCGAAGGCAUAUGUCCGGAGUGCAACUGACGCUGAGGCUCGAAAGUGCGGGUAUCGAACAGG
rnacentral:rRNA from 1 species